GGGCUUGUAAUGGUUUCGACAGGGAUCAUGAAGCUGGAGAAGCGAGUCGCACGGGAUGCGUCAAAUUCCAAACUUAAAAUUAAACGCUGAAGAUAAUUUAGCGGUUGCAGCCUAACAGCUGUAACUUGCAGCCCUUAUUGGCUGCAGUCUGACCUAGAGUACCUACACUUUAGGACCCAGGCUUCGACUAUGUAGGAAACGAUGCAGGCAAAGCUUUGAACCUGCAGGCGUAUGAUGAAGCUACUAAACCCGGAACUGUGCUUAUGCAGGCCCGGCAGAGGGAAUGUGUUAUCCAUCCGGAUAGCAGAAAUCAUAAGAUACGCUCGUAGAAGGACAGGGGAUUGAUUUUUGGACACGGGUUCGACUCCCGUCAGGUCCAC
rnacentral:tmRNA from 1 species